AGGAUUAUAUUUAACUAUAAUAUUUAAUUUGCAAUUAAAAGGUACCUAAAAAUAUAAAGGUUAAUCUUU
rnacentral:tRNA from 1 species